rnacentral:rRNA from 1 species
CCUACGGGAGGCAGCAGUGGGGAAUUUUGGACNAUNGGCGAAAGCCUGAUCCAGCCAUGCCGCGUGCAGGAUGAAGGCCUUCGGGUUGUAAACUGCUUUUGUACGGAACGAAACGGCCUUUUCUAAUAAAGAGGGCUAAUGACGGUACCGUAAGAAUAAGCACCGGCUAACUACGUGCCAGCAGCCGCGGUAAUACGUAGGGUGCAAGCGUUAAUCGGAAUUACUGGGCGUAAAGCGUGCGCAGGCGGUAAUGUAAGACAGUUGUGAAAUCCCCGGGCUCAACCUGGGAGCUGCAUCUGUGACUGCAUUGCUGGAGUACGGUAGAGGGGGAUGGAAUUCCGCGUGUAGCAGUGAAAUGCGUAGAUAUGCGGAGGAACACCGAUGGCGAAGGCAAUCCCCUGGACCUGUACUGACGCUCAUGCACGAAAGCGUGGGGAGCAAACAGGAUUAGAUACCCUGGUAGUCCACGCCCUAAACGAUGUCAACUGGUUGUUGGGUCUUCACUGACUCAGUAACGAAGCUAACGCGUGAAGUUGACCGCCUGGGGAGUACGGNCGCANNGUNGAAACUCAAAGGAAUUGACGG